GACGAACGCUGGCGGCGUGCUUAACACAUGCAAGUCGAACGAUGAUCAGGAGCUUGCUCCUGUUGUUAGUGGCGAACGGGUGAGUAACACGUGAGUAACCUGCCCCUGACUCUGGGAUAAGCGUUGGAAACGACGGCUAAUACUGGAUAUGAGCACUGGCCGCAUGUUCUGGUGGUGGAAAGAUUUUUUGGUUGGGGAUGGACUCGCGGCCUAUCAGCUUGUUGGUGAGGUAAUGGCUCACCAAGGCGACGACGGGUAGCCGGCCUGAGAGGGUGACCGGCCACACUGGGACUGAGAUACGGCCCAGACUCCUACGGGAGGCAGCAGUGGGGAAUAUUGCACAAUGGGCGGAAGCCUGAUGCAGCAACGCCGCGUGAGGGAUGACGGCCUUCGGGUUGUAAACCUCUUUUAGUAGGGAAGAAGCGAAAGUGACGGUACCUGCAGAAAAAGCACCGGCUAACUACGUG
rnacentral:rRNA from 1 species